GGAAGACGCGCCGGCGGCCCGGCAACUCGCCUUGAAAGCGAGUGGCGGUUUAAAACCCGUGGGGAUCGACACCUCCGUCUUCCGC
rnacentral:tRNA from 1 species